AGUGGUUCGCGAUUCCGCGGACGUCGAAAAUUUGCCGCGAGACGCUCCCGAGGGUGGUUAAUGUCACGUUAUUCCGCUUUCUACGAUCCACCCACUCGCGGGUCGCGACAUCCGUGAAAUCUUCGCGGCUCCGCGUUCGCUCUCCACGAGUUCGUACCUUGUCGCUGGAAAUCGUUAAGUCGCGAGUCCGAGCUGGCUUGCAAUCGCCGACCCACGCGUCUCGAAGACGUGGCGAACGGGCGACGCACGCGCCUUUGUGCUACAGGCGUUGCAGCGUUCAGACCACCGUUUCGAAGACCGUCUCCGGAUUGUCAGCUGCUCCAUGAUCCAUGCUCCAUUGAUCUUCACUGGUUUCGUCGAUUCCGCGUACAAGCUAGAGAAGAUUUGAUUUUUCGCGCACAGAGGGGUUCAGGGUUCGAAGAUAACGAUAAUUACCAUCUCGUGUCAUUAUUCAUUGUAUGUAUAAUCGGGAACGAAGUGAAGAAUAAGGUAUCAUGGUCUUCAGAAUCUUUGUAACAAAGUAUCUUCGCGUGACAAUGACGUAUAUCGCUAAACGUCGUAAAGCGUUGUGAACCGUCGUAAGAGCUGCUUUUAUCUUGAACGACGGAGCAAUAAAUGUAUUCUUGAGCGAUAAAUUUCUAUAAUGUAUAUAAAUGAUAUCUCCCCAAUUUGUUUCCGCUAUCUGAAACCCGUGUUGCUCUCAGUCACGAAGAUUUUUGUCCAACUCUGUUAACGACAACGUCGGCCGAAUCUCGAUGCCGGUCGUUAGACAUCGAACGAUAACGCAUCCCCGUUGUCGUUAUCUGAACUGUCGAUCUUCAUUGACGUUCACAAUAUCGCGUACAAACCGGAUCUCCCUCAACCAAUGAAAUCUCCUCGUGGACGGUUUCCCACGCGAAAACGCCGUCUGAUGUUCGUGUAAUCCGGCAUCUCGGUAGCGAGGUGUCCCGAAAGAAACGAAAAACAGAAGAAACACGGUGGAAAAAGAGAGGAGAAGCGGACAGGACGCGCGCACAAAAGUGGCCAAGAGGUAACAAGGUUGGUGGUUCUAUAAAAGAAAAGCUCUCACCAGCAUAGCUGAGUGCAAACACAUGCUGUCGGUGAUAAGCGGCCGUUCGCCACCCAUCACGCGACCGACCGCGGCCAAUCCGAUAAUCCGUGACAAGCGUAAUGAUUUAUUAUUGUGUCAAGUCAAAGAACCGCGAGUUGAGACUAGCCUCGCGAUGAUCACAGUUCCCAAUACGAUAUCAAGAGAUAAACUAACGUGGUCCUUGCACGCUGAUAACGCGUUGCAGCGAAGAGAGUCGCUAUGCAAACAGAGGACAAGCUACGGACAUCAGGCACGCGGAGUUGAGAUGAUCGCUAGCUCUGGGACAGCGUUUUCUCGCUGCGAGCGAUCCGAGAAAUUGCUCAGCGACGAAUACGUUCAACGUGGACGAAGAACGUAGGCGCGUCUUCGAAGUGACGAAUACAAUUCCGCUGGCUUCCUCGAUCCAGACCAGCGUGAUUAGUUCUAGCGAAUGGUACCGCUUCGGGGAAAAGGCACAAGGAAGAAGGACACUGUUGCUCCGCGUGAUCCUCGAUUAGAUGUUGAUUGCUGCCUACCAACUUUAGACGAUGCAGAGUUUCUAAUCACAGAGAUAGGGUGGGCGGGAGAAGCCACUCCUUUCUAGAGUUUAUUCCAAGUGGAUUGAUUUAUUUGAAUAAGAAUCCUGAUCAAUUCGAUAUAAGAUUCGCGUGUACGUACAUGUAAUACCGAUUAAAAUAAACAUUUAGUUUGCUAAAUAUAA